CCUAUCAAUCCCAACCUCCCCAAAAAGCCAUUAACUUCUCCUCACAACCCCACUAACUUCCCCACCUCCCCAAAAAGCCAUUAACUUUCCCAAAACCCAGUUCACAUACUUCCCCAUUGACUUCCCGUACCUCGCCCACUCAUCAUCCCACUGACUUUAGUCAUUCUUUUCCACCUCUUGUCUAACCCAAAGCCAGGAAUGCUUCCAACACAAAGACAACACAUCUAAAGUUCCGACGAGAGAAGCGUCGUCCCGCAACUCCAACGAUCUUCGAUUCAGCCCCAUGGCUCCAAAACGCAGAAAAAAACAACGACGCAACAACCUCCAACUCACCGAUAGCAUCGCAACACCGGUCUACAAGGGGUAACCCUACGCCUCCUUCCAAUAACCCUGAUGGUAUUAUCUUUGACCCUGAUCUUAAUCAAGAGGUACCCCUACAACGACCGGCUCCACACACUUCGCCCGACGGUGCAUCCACAUCUAGUGCGUCCCCCAAUUGGAUCAACAGGUUCAACAUGUUGGAGCGGGGGCAUCAACACUUGAAAGAGUCCGUCCACUCAUUACGACAAGAUAUGGGCACACAAUUCCAUGCCAUUAACGCGCGUCUGCAUGGUUUUGACACUACACUAGGGACGAUGAACCAGUUGAUACAAGAUUUGCACCACUUUUCUCUACCUCAUCCUUAUGCACCUCCACCGCCACCUCAAUGAGUGGUGAGUCCCUCUUAUCCUCCUUUCAAUUACUCAAACACAUUGGGGACAAUGUGCAAUUCAAGCAUGGGGGAUUGGGUGUGUUGGGAUGAUGUUUCAUGUAUGCUUUAGUGUUUUUGAGUGCUUGUUUUCUGUGUUGGGAUUUUUCAUUAUGAUUAAAAAAAAAGAGUACCACUGUUUGAAAACUCUUCUAACACAUGCAUCAAUUAUUUCACAUGCCCCAUUGUUAAAAAAAAAUUUCUUUGUUUCAUGUUCAGUUGGUUAGGAUGUUAUCUGUUCGAGUUCCACUUUGUCGAUACUUAACUCUAAACAUUGGAGAGAUAGGAAUGGAUUUUGGCUCAACCCAUCUAAUUAAAACCUAAGCUUCUUUGGUGACUUGGAAUACUUUUUGGUUACUGGAGAAACACUCGGCCUUGUAAAAAAAAAGUCCUAAAGUCUGUUGCACCGAGUACCUAGCACCGCACCCUCAGAAGUAUGGCUGUCACGUCAGUAGGUGUUAAUUAUGACGGGAUUUUCAAAAAAAAAA